UUGAAUUCAUUAGGAGACUAAAUUGUUAGUACUGGUUUAACUUAUUAUAAAAAAAAUAUUAUAGUCAGGGAUGGGCAUCGGAUCGAAUUCGAAUUUAGUUUCAAAUUUGAUCAGAAGAAAUUUGUGUAAUUUGAUCAAAUUUGAUUUGGAACGGAUCGGAUUCAAUCAAUCGGAUAAUCCAAUUGGAUUUGCACGAUUGCUUAAAAGAAGUAGGAAUUAAAUGAGAACCUAAAGCUAAACCCAGUCCGUAAAUCCCAAAAAAAAAGUAAACAAUUUACAUCCCAGUCGUGCAACCGAUGACCACACCACACCCAUGGGCCAAAUCAAAAUGGAAUCGAACAAAACCUAGUUGCCAACGACACAAACCAAAUGAAACCCAGCCACACCUUGAUGAUGCCCAGCUGCCACAACAUCCUCCAAAGCCACGACGCCAAAGAAAGUCAAGACACAACCCAAAUUGUUGGUAGCUCUAUCUUGAUCGACAUCGACGUCCAGCAGGCCAAUUGCAUGCCGCACGUCAUCGAGGUUCCAGAGGAUCACCUGACAGCGACAGCAACCUCGCGACUUGUUCAUGGUAAUCCCAAUGCAUGGCGACUCCUUGAUUUGUGUUUGAAACUUUGAAUUUUAUACUUGUCUAGCUAGUGAUUAUCAGUUCAAUUGAGUUGCUCUAUUGUGUCAAAUCUUGCUACAAUGUGGAGCUGUGCUAUUUUUGACGAUAAGGUGUACAUUUGAAAACUUUUCC
rnacentral:lncRNA from 1 species